GGCCCCUUCGUAUAACGGCUAUUACCCCGGCCUUUGGAGCCGGUGACGAUGGUUCGACUCCAUCAGGGGCUA
rnacentral:tRNA from 1 species